AUGAUGAACAAAGAUCUGGAGAAGGCUUCGACCAUCAACGUUUCAGCCCUUACUUGUAUAGAUCUCGCCAGCCCUGAUCUUCAUCGAUCAGCUGUUUUGCUCAAGCAGGCAUGCUUGGAGUGCGGAUUUUUCUAUGUCAUAAAUCAUGGUUUAAGUGAGGAGUUAAAGGAUGAUGCUUUUGAGCAAGAAAUUCUUUGCUCUUCCUUUGGAAGAGAAGAUGAAAGUCUUGAGGAAUAAAAAGAACCGAGGAUAUUCUCCUGUCCUUGAUCAAAUCUUAGAUCCUCAGAAUCAAGUCCACGGAGACUACAAAGAGUGUUUUUUCAUUGGAAUCGAUGGUCCCAAAGAUGAUCCUAAUGGGGAUAAGCCAUUUUAUA